GAUCAUGGCUCAGGAUGAACGCUGGCGGCGUGCUUAACACAUGCAAGUCGAGCGAAGCACUUAUGAUGAUCCUUCGGGUGAUUCAUUUGUGACUGAGCGGGCGGCGGGUGAAGGUAACCGCGUGAGGUAACCUGCCUCAUACAGGGGAAUAACAGUUAGAAAUGACUGCUAAUGCCGCAUAAGCGCACAGGGCCGCAUGGCCCGGUGUGAAAACUCCGGUGGU
rnacentral:rRNA from 1 species